AUUGAACGCUGGCGGCAUGCUUUACACAUGCAAGUCGAACGGUAACAGGCCGCAAGGUGCUGACGAGUGGCGAACGGGUGAGUAAUGCAUCGGAACGUGCCCAGUCGUGGGGGAUAACGCAGCGAAAGCUGCGCUAAUACCGCAUACGAUCUAUGGAUGAAAGCGGGGGACCGUAAGGCCUCGCGCGAUUGGAGCGGCCGAUGUCAGAUUAGGUAGUUGGUGGGGUAAAGGCUCACCAAGCCAACGAUCUGUAGCUGGUCUGGGAGGACGACCAGCCACACUGGUACUGGGACGCGGCCCAGACUCAUACGGGAGGCAGCAGUGGGGAAUUUUGGACAAUGGGCGCAAGCCUGAUCCAGCAAUGCCGCGUGCAGGAAGAAGGCCUUCGGGUUGUAAACUGCUUUUGUACGGAACGAAACGGCUCUGGUUAAUACCUGGGGCUAAUGACGGUACCGUAAGAAUAAGCACCGGCUAACUACGUGCCAGCCGCCGCCGUAAGAC
rnacentral:rRNA from 1 species